rnacentral:lncRNA from 1 species
ACCAGCAAGAGCAAGAAGUAUUGGCAGCAGCAGGCAGCCAGGCAGGCUGGGAGUUUGCAUGGAAAUCAUGAAGUCUUUCUUGUCUUCCUCUUUUGAAAUAUUUUGGAAGGCGAGUUAAGAAUAGCUCAGAAACUGGUCUCAUUCUUUUUGUGGGAAGAAUGACCAGAAGCAUAAAAGCUAAGUCUUCCAGCAAGUGCAAGACACCUCUUUUGGUGUUUGCAGUAAACCUAACAAGAAUGAAUUGCUAUCAGUAAAGUCCUGUACCAUGACACCUAAAAGGAAGGAAAUGGUAAAGCAAAGUAAUAACUCAAAGACAGUCACCGAGGGCUUUUGUCCACCUUUAACUCAUUGUGGCAAAGUUGGACAUUCCAAAGAUGGCGUAGAUGAACAUGACCAGGAAGAGCAGGAGGCCGAUGUUAAACAACGCAGGAAGGGACAUCAUCAAAGCAAAGAGCAGCGUGCGGAUCCCCUUUGCUCCUUUGACUAGACGUAGGAUUCGGCCAAUCCUGGCAAGACGGAUCACUCGGAACAGGGUAGCAGAGAUCUCUGGAGGUGAAACAUUGCUCUGAACUGGCAUUGAUUCUAGCCCAGCUCUUGUAGACCAAUUACCAACUUCUCCAUCUCCCUCCAGUGCCUGGAACUGGACCUGGCACACAGGCAAAGGGUUAUCAACUGUGCUGCACUCUGAGGAGCUUGACCGGUUUAAUCUCUAGAAAGGAAUUCACCAC